UUUUCUUCUUCUUCAGAAGACGAAUGCAGAUACAAUUUUGUGCCGACACCUCCUUCUUUGAAAGACAAUUAUGGACAAGAUGAGGUAAGAGAAAAUACCGAUGAAGAAGUUGCAAUAACACAAGAUGCAAGAAGUAACACAUCAAGAAGUUCAUGUUCUGGAGAGUCUUUUCAACAUAAUUUGUCUCUGAAAAAGCUCGAGCGUAUAAAAGCUAUAGACAAACAGGUAGCUGCACAACAGGACAAUAAUUUUGAGGUCAAUUGUGUUAAUUCAA